GCAGCCCUUAAACGAGGGUGGGGAGGGCUGGAGCCAGGCUCCACCCCUUUUUUGCCCAGGUGAAAUGCUUGCAGCUGUGCUCCACAGCAGAAUGUGUUUUAAUGAAUCCUGUGGAAGCCUGUGAAAUCCAAGAAUCCUUUCUUCCUUCUUUCUCGUUUGUGUUUGUUGCCUGCAGUUCCAAGCAGGUGGGCUCUCAGUGUCUUGCAAGUGACACCUAGCAGCAGCAAGUCCAGCCAGGAGGCACAGCACCCUGCAACCUCCAGGGGCCUUUGUGCAGCAGCAGAUGUUGAUGCCCUAGAAGCACGGUGCGGAGCACAUCCUGGGAUCAAGGUGCC
rnacentral:lncRNA from 1 species